rnacentral:rRNA from 1 species
AGUGAACGCUGGCGGUAGGCCUAACACAUGCAAGUCGAACGGCAGCACAGUAAGAGCUUGCUCUUACGGGUGGCGAGUGGCGGACGGGUGAGGAAUACAUCGGAAUCUACUUUUUCGUGGGGGAUAACGUAGGGAAACUUACGCUAAUACCGCAUACGACCUACGGGUGAAAGCAGGGGAUCUUCGGACCUUGCGCGAUUGAAUGAGCCGAUGUCGGAUUAGCUAGUUGGCGGGGUAAAGGCCCACCAAGGCGACGAUCCGUAGCUGGUCUGAGAGGAUGAGCAGCCACACUGGAGCUGAGACACGGUCCAGACUCCUACGGGAGGCAGCAGUGGGGAAUAUUGGACAAUGGGCGCAAGCCUGAUCCAGCCAUACCGCGUGGGUGAAGAAGGGCUUCGGGUUGUAAAGCCCUUUUGUUGGGAAAGAAAAGCAGCAGGUUAAUACCCCGCUGUUCUGACGGUACCCAAAGAAUAAGCACCGGCUAACUUCGUG